UUAAAAUACAAUAAAUAUGGCUGCUAUCAUUGAAAACUCAAUCACAGUAUAAAAAUAAUAAUGUAUAAUAUAAUGCAGCAUUUUAAUAAUAAUAAUUUAUUGUGGAAUAAUUUUAAUAUUUAUAUAAUCUAAGCAUAUUGAUUAAUGUUUAACAUAUAAUUUGUGAAACGUGAUUUUGCUAAGAAUAUGUUAUAACUAUUAAUAUGUGUGAUUGGGAUUGUGAAGUAGAUGAAGAUUGGGUGAAUUUUUUAAAGGAAUUCACUCAACCACUAACUCAAGAACCUAUAGUAGAAGAUGAUCCGGAAGCAGAUCCAGAAUAUAAUGUUUCAGAUGAUGAAGAAACAGAAUUUUUGGAUAAAGAAGAGUUACGAGCUGAUAAAGCUGUAAAAGUUUCACGCAAGGAAUUAAAUGAUUUGAUUGCAGAAUUAUUUGAGUUUACAGAUACAUAUUCUAAACAAGAACAAGAAAGUUCAAAAAAGAAAAAAUCUUUAGAAAAUACAAAUUUUCCACAAAUACAAAUUGGAAAUGAUAUUGUGAAUGAAUCUGUAACAGAUAUAUUAUCUACUUACAAAGAAACUGACCAUUCCAAUUUAAUAAAUCCAAAUCAAAAAGAAUUAUUAGCAGUUCAAUUUCGUCAACAUGUUCAAUUAAUGGUGCAACAUUUUGCUAUGACAUAUAUGCAUCCAGAUUUACAUUCUCAAUCACAAACAUGUAAACAAAAUUUAAAUAGUAUAAAAUAUUUAAGUAAUGGACCUAAUUCUGCAUUUAAUGUGAUAAAUUUACCAGAUGCUUUAAAACUAAUAUUUGAUUGGGAAAAAAAAUUUUUGGAUAAUGAAUUUUCUGAAGAUUUUAAAAAGACUCUUAUAGAUGAAGAUCCAAUAAAGAAAAUAUAUCUUGUACAAAAACAUAAAGGUGCAUCUAUUUUUCAUCCAGAAUUAAAAAAACUAUUUAUGGAAAGUAAAGCUUUAAUGUAUCCACAACUUUUACCUGAAAUACCAUUUAGACCUGAAUCAAUUAAAUUUGUACGACUUCCAUAUUUAAAAUCUGAAGAAAAUUUAAUUGCAUUAGGUUUGGAACAAUUUCUUCCUUUUGUUGCAUCUAAACCAAGAAAAUUUAAGAGUAAAAAACUUCAAUUAAUUGAUGCAGUACAAUUAAUUAUUCAAUAUUUAAUACCAUGUAGAGAACCUCAUGGAUUAAUAUAUCAUAUUCGGAAACGUCGAUGCGCAAAACAUGCAAAUCCAAUAAAACAUUAUUUCGAAAAAGGUUCUGCUCCAAGAACAAUACAUUACAUUACAUUGGAAUGUGAUCUCAAAGCUCCAAAAGAUCAAUCAAUAAAUCUAUUACCUUCAGUAUGGCAGACUUAUCUUAGUAAUACACACACAGAACAAAAAGUUGAUGUAUUAAAACGAAAAUAUAUACUUAAUUCACAUAAUGAUGUUAUGAAAAAAGAUUGUUUUACAAAUGGAAAUAGAAAUCAUAUUUCUAAUACUGUUCUGUUAUACAAUUCAUCUAUUAAUAUAUUACCAAAAAUAUUACCUGCAAAUCAGAAGAUAAGUAAAAAUAUAUCAAAAGACAAUUUGUGUUUAAAUGAAAAUUCUAAUUCUAAAAUUUUGAAAAAUAUUUCAAAUAAUGGAACUAAUAUUGAAUUACAUAAUAUACAUACAUUAAAUAAAGAGCGUAACAAUUCUUUAAAAAUCAUGACAUCACAAGAAAAAAAAGAGAAAAAGAUAGAUGGAAAUGAAUUUAAAAAAAUUCAAAAUGAUACAAAUCUUAUAUCAACACACUCGAAAUUUCGUAAAAAAUCUUCUGAAAUAGUACAAGAAUUACCACAAUUACGAAAAACUACACCUAGAUUAGCAAAAACAAGAAGUGCUCAAAACAUGAAAUUAAUGGCUCAAGUUUUAGGACCAAAAGCUUUAUCAUCUAAUAAUAAUACUUUAAAGUCUAGAGAAAAAAAUGAAAUAGAUACAAAUUUAGAAAAAAUAUCAACUUUACCUAAGAUAGAUAAUGAAGAUGAAAUAGCAGAAUUAAUGUUAGCUAGUACAACAAUUAAGAAAGAUUCUAUUAGUAGAAAGAAAGCAAAAGAAGCUAGAGAAUUAGAAAAUAUUAAAAGACUUUUAGAAUCUGAAAAUCCACUAAAUGAAGAAGAAAGAGGUUCAAAAUUUGCAGCAUCAUAUCUUCAAAAAUUACAUUUAACAUUAGAAUCUAAUAAUCCAACAACAUUACGAUCUAUUAUAAAAUUAUAUUUAGAUUAUUAUGAAAAAUUAGAUAAUAUUAAUCAGAUGGAGAAUGAAUUAUCAUUUUCUCGAUCAAGAUGUUCUCAAAAUGAACAAAUUAUGGAAAAAACUGCAAAAGAUAAAGAUACAAUAACUAUCAAUUUGUAUCAAGAUGUAUGUGAAAAAUUACGAGAAUAUCCUGAACUUUGUACAGAUUUUUUAUUGUUUUUAAAACCACAUCAAGCUGCAAUGAUAGAUAAGUCAGUGGAAUAUAUAAUGCUUCAAAAGAUGAACGAAUUUGUUAAUGUAGCUCAAAUAUAUUUUGCUAAACAACCUUCUCGAAUAGCAAAAAUGAUGCAAGCUAUUACACAGCUUUCAUCUGAUACACAGAUAACAUUAGAACAUAUUCAUGCGACUAUGGGCCCUAUACUUAAGGGACAUCCUUUAGUUAUGGAUUUAUUUUUACAAAUAUUACCUACUGCUAAACCACCAGACAGUUUAUUUGCAUCACAUAUGUUUGAAAAUUUAACAUGCCCAGUAGGACCACAUGAUAAAAGUAAAAUUUAUACUGAAGAUGCACCUGAAUUAUAUGAAAAUAUAGAAUUACCAGUAUUAUCACUUCAAGAAGAUCCUUAUGGUGGAGAAAAUUGCAAGUGUAAUUGUCACAAUGGUGAUGAAACCACUUGUAAGAAUAUUUCUGAACAUUGCAUUUCUUGUGGUACAAGGUUUUUAAAUGGAAAAAUUUAUCUUCAAACAUCUGAAGGCCUAAGACCUGCAAAAAUUAUUUUUCCUGGAGCUGAUGAAGAAAAAUUGGAAAAUAUUGCUCGUGUAUCUUUAAAAAUUACUGAUAAAUUUACUUCAUCUAUUUCAUCUAAACAACGAAGAAAAUCUUCGAAAAAUGAAUUUCAUAGUGAUGAACAAUCUUGUUUAUCAAAAAGUUUACCUAUUAAAGAAAAUGAAGAUGGAGAAAAGUUAAUUGUAAAAUCUAAAAAAACUAUAAAAUCUCCAUCAAAAUCAACAGAUCAGAAAAAAAAUUUAAAAAGAUCUGGAAAUGAAAUAAAUCACAUAAAGAAUAGAAAUACAAAAAAAAUACGCAUAUCCCAAUGUAAAAAUAAAAGAAAAAAUAAAGUUGACAAAUUAGAAGCAAAAUUAGAAUAUGUAGAUUCAAAUGUUAAUCAUAUAAAAUCAAAUAAAUAUUUAUCUAUUGACUAUAAAAAUUCUGAUAAAAAAACAUUAGUGAAAAAUAUAGAAAUUGAAAUGUCGAAUGAUAAUAUAAGAAAAAUUGAUUCAAAUUGUGAAAUAAAAAAUAUUAAUUUAAAUACAAAUGUAAAUAUUAAAUCAUGGACACGACAAGAAGAUAUGAUUCUGUUACAAGCUAUUAAAAAAGAAUAUUCUGAAAAUUCACUUGCCAUGGUUAGUAAAAUACUAGGGAAUCGUACAAUUGACCAAGUUAAAGAAAGAUGUGAAACUCUUCUUUCUUUAUUAGAAAAAAUGAUGUAAUUGUAUUAGAAAAAAAGAAAUAUAUAUAUAUAGUUGUUUAUUGUUGAUAACUUGAUAAAUUGGCAAGAACAAAGAGAGUACUUUUUUCUUUUGCUACAAUGAUCUUAAGUUAUCAGUUCUUCAUAUAAGUAUUUAAAUAUCUAAAAUUCAUUCAUAAAAAUAUAUAUAUUGAUCGAAAAUCUUCAAAUAAAAUCAUACAAUAUUAAUUGUAUAUGAUGAGCAAUAGAAAAGUAUUAAAUGGAAAAUAUUCUCAUUCUGUCAUCUUGCUAAUCAACUUGUUAUUUUUGCGAUAUAUAUACAUACGNUAUAAAUUU